AGCUAUAAGUUCUCUGUAGCGCAGCUAACGCAUUAAGCACUCCGCCUGGGGAGUACGACCGCAAGGUUGAAACUCAAAGGAAUUGACGGGGGCCCGCACAAGCGGUGGAGCAUGUGGUUUAAUUCGAAGCAACGCGAAGAACCUUACCAGGUCUUGACAUACUCGUGCUAUCCUUAGAGAUAAGGAGUUCCUUCGGGACACGGGAUACAGGUGGUGCAUGGUUGUCGUCAGCUCGUGUCGUGAGAUGUUGGGUUAAGUCCCGCAACGAGCGCAACCCUUAUUACUAGUUGCCAUCAUUAAGUUGGGCACUCUAGUGAGACUGCCGGUGAUAAACCGGAGGAAGGUGGGGAUGACGUCAAAUCAUCAUGCCCCUUAUGACCUGGGCUACACACGUGCUACAAUGGAUGGUACAACGAGUCGCCAACCCGCGAGGGUGCGCUAAUCUCUUAAAACCAUUCUCAGUUCGGAUUGCAGGCUGCAACUCGCCUGCAUGAAGUCGGAAUCGCUAGUAAUCGCGGAUCAGCACGCCGCGGUGAAUACGUUCCCGGGCCUUGUACACACCGCCCGUCACACCACGGAAGUUGGGAGUACCCAAAGUAGGUUGCCUAACC
rnacentral:rRNA from 1 species